UUGCCUUCUUGACUCCUCCAGUACAUCCUCCUGUUCAGUGUACUCUUCGAACAGCUGCAUCCUUGCCUGCCCCAUGUCACCAAUAUACAUGUGACAAAGGGACACAGACGUAUCUCAAGAAAAUAAACAAAGGUAUGUGAGCCACGGUGUAGUCUUUGCACGAGAUGAUACUGUCAUGUCUUCCUUUUGUGCAUUUGACUGGUACUUAUCACCAUAAACUCAAGACAAACACAUUACGAUGAAAGAUGAAAGUCACUGAACAUCAGUUCUUUCAUGUUCAAACACAUUACGUGUUGGCUAUGCGUCAUGGAAUACUCCCCAAAAUUGUUUUGUCCUGGUAUGUCGCUUGUGACCAACAUAACACAAAAUUCAUCUAAUGAAACUAUCUUGUGUAAUUUUUUGUGUAUGCUUUAGGCAUACACAAGUGCAGACAUGCGACAUCCCAGCUGACCCUGUACAACGAAGCUCAACGCCUGUACCAGCCAAUGAAUCCUACGAAUAGAACGAAGACAGCACAGCAGAGAUACGAGAUCUUCAUGACACUACAUAUGAGCCUAACCAAAGUGACCUGAAUGCGACUGCAGAUACCUCAUUAUUUGAAAAGUCUUUCAGUGAACUCUACGAGCCAAGUCGGGGUUGAGCAGAUGGCUGAAGGCAGCCAGGAUGCAAGUGCUCAGUCUGGUGGUGAUGUUCAGAAUGAAAAGUCUACUGAAGGUGAGAGGU